rnacentral:rRNA from 1 species
GUAUGAACGGCCACAUGAGGACCAAACUGUCUCCUUCGACUAAUCAAUGAACCUGAUCUCCCAGUACAAAAGCUGAGAUACACCCAUAAGACGAGAAGACCCUGUGGAGCUUAAAAUACUAGCACUAACCACCACCACCCCAACAGGCCCACCCAACCAAAAUAGUGCCCGUUUUUAGUUGGGGCGACUACGGAACCAAACAAAACUUCCACGACAGGACCCCCUCCGUCCAUCCAAGGUCUACAAACCUACACCCAACCUGACCCAGCAAUGCUGAUCAACGAACCAAGUUACCCCAGGGAUAACAGCGCCAUCCUCUUCAAGAGCCCCUAUCGCCAAGAGGGUUUACGACCUCGAUGUUGGAUCAGGACCCCCAGGUGGUGCAACCGCUACCAAUGGUUCGUUUG